CUUACACCAGCUCGCCUGCACUCUGACUAUUUUUUCGAUAACCAGGGCUAUGCUGUUUUUUUUAUCUACUUCACUUGCAAGUGUGAUCUAUGUUUGCAACUAUUGUACAUUGGUUGUGCUUAAUUCGAAAACUGUAUUUUUAGUGACUUAUGACUGGUCUUUAAGGUAAUAACGGCUUUAUUUGUUGAUUUCAGGAAAUGUACUCUCUUGUCCAUUUUUUGGCGGAAAAUGAUGUCGCAGUUGUCCCUACCUGUUGGGUGUGCAAUGGCUGCACGGCAUGGCCACCCUACAAAUCAAAUCUGUUGAUGAUGGCAAUUAGAGAGCGUGAAGAGCCCUCGACUGACUGGGCCACAUUCUCCUGUCAGGUGAUGGCAUCAUGUUUGACACAUGAAGAUGCAAAGUACAAAGAAAAAAAAUUCGGAAGCGACGUCCGACCUAACAUUGAAUAAUGAAGAGCGGGAGAAGAGAAAAAGGAAGAGACUGCAGCAUACUCAGCAUAAGGAAGAGACUGCAGCAUACAUUUGAGGAUGAGGACUUCUAUGACCAAGAUGAACGACGUAACACUCAGCCAGCCCCUCAACUUCCAGAACGUGCACCAGAGCCCAAGCAAAAACGCACACGU
rnacentral:lncRNA from 1 species